rnacentral:rRNA from 1 species
GGUUAAGCGACUAAGCGUACACGGUGGAUGCCCUGGCAGUCAGAGGCGAUGAAGGACGUGCUAAUCUGCGAUAAGCGUCGGUAAGGUGAUAUGAACCGUUAUAACCGGCGAUUUCCGAAUGGGGAAACCCAGUGUGUUUCGACACACUAUCAUUAACUGAAUCCAUAGGUUAAUGAGGCGAACCGGGGGAACUGAAACAUCUAAGUACCCCGAGGAAAAGAAAUCAACCGAGAUUCCCCCAGUAGCGGCGAGCGAACGGGGAGCAGCCCAGAGCCUGAAUCAGUGUGUGUGUUAGUGGAAGCGUCUGGAAAGGCGCGCGAUACAGGGUGACAGCCCCGUACACAAAAAUGCACAUGCUGUGAGCUCGAUGAGUAGGGCGGGACACGUGGUAUCCUGUCUGAAUAUGGGGGGACCAUCCUCCAAGGCUAAAUACUCCUGACUGACCGAUAGUGAACCAGUACCGUGAGGGAAAGGCGAAAAGAACCCCGGCGAGGGGAGUGAAAAAGAACCUGAAACCGUGUACGUACAAGCAGUGGGAGCACGCUUAGGCGUGUGACUGCGUACCUUUUGUAUAAUGGGUCAGCGACUUAUAUUCUGUAGCAAGGUUAACCGAAUAGGGGAGCCGAAGGGAAACCGAGUCUUAACUGGGCGUUAAGUUGCAGGGUAUAGACCCGAAACCCGGUGAUCUAGCCAUGGGCAGGUUGAAGGUUGGGUAACACUAACUGGAGGACCGAACCGACUAAUGUUGAAAAAUUAGCGGAUGACUUGUGGCUGGGGGUGAAAGGCCAAUCAAACCGGGAGAUAGCUGGUUCUCCCCGAAAGCUAUUUAGGUAGCGCCUCGUGAAUUCAUCUCCGGGGGUAGAGCACUGUUUCGGCAAGGGGGUCAUCCCGACUUACCAACCCGAUGCAAACUGCGAAUACCGGAGAAUGUUAUCACGGGAGACACACGGCGGGUGCUAACGUCCGUCGUGAAGAGGGAAACAACCCAGACCGCCAGCUAAGGUCCCAAAGUCAUGGUUAAGUGGGAAACGAUGUGGGAAGGCCCAGACAGCCAGGAUGUUGGCUUAGAAGCAGCCAUCAUUUAAAGAAAGCGUAAUAGCUCACUGGUCGAGUCGGCCUGCGCGGAAGAUGUAACGGGGCUAAACCAUGCACCGAAGCUGCGGCAGCGACGCUUAUGCGUUGUUGGGUAGGGGAGCGUUCUGUAAGCCUGUGAAGGUGUGCUGUGAGGCAUGCUGGAGGUAUCAGAAGUGCGAAUGCUGACAUAAGUAACGAUAAAGCGGGUGAAAAGCCCGCUCGCCGGAAGACCAAGGGUUCCUGUCCAACGUUAAUCGGGGCAGGGUGAGUCGACCCCUAAGGCGAGGCCGAAAGGCGUAGUCGAUGGGAAACAGGUUAAUAUUCCUGUACUUGGUGUUACUGCGAAGGGGGGACGGAGAAGGCUAUGUUGGCCGGGCGACGGUUGUCCCGGUUUAAGCGUGUAGGCUGGUUUUCCAGGCAAAUCCGGAAAAUCAAGGCUGAGGCGUGAUGACGAGGCACUACGGUGCUGAAGCAACAAAUGCCCUGCUUCCAGGAAAAGCCUCUAAGCAUCAGGUAACAUCAAAUCGUACCCCAAACCGACACAGGUGGUCAGGUAGAGAAUACCAAGGCGCUUGAGAGAACUCGGGUGAAGGAACUAGGCAAAAUGGUGCCGUAACUUCGGGAGAAGGCACGCUGAUAUGUAGGUGAAGUCCCUCGCGGAUGGAGCUGAAAUCAGUCGAAGAUACCAGCUGGCUGCAACUGUUUAUUAAAAACACAGCACUGUGCAAACACGAAAGUGGACGUAUACGGUGUGACGCCUGCCCGGUGCCGGAAGGUUAAUUGAUGGGGUCAGCGCAAGCGAAGCUCUUGAUCGAAGCCCCGGUAAACGGCGGCCGUAACUAUAACGGUCCUAAGGUAGCGAAAUUCCUUGUCGGGUAAGUUCCGACCUGCACGAAUGGCGUAAUGAUGGCCAGGCUGUCUCCACCCGAGACUCAGUGAAAUUGAACUCGCUGUGAAGAUGCAGUGUACCCGCGGCAAGACGGAAAGACCCCGUGAACCUUUACUAUAGCUUGACACUGAACAUUGAGCCUUGAUGUGUAGGAUAGGUGGGAGGCUUUGAAGUGUGGACGCCAGUCUGCAUGGAGCCGACCUUGAAAUACCACCCUUUAAUGUUUGAUGUUCUAACGUUGACCCGUGAUCCGGGUUGCGGACAGUGUCUGGUGGGUAGUUUGACUGGGGCGGUCUCCUCCUAAAGAGUAACGGAGGAGCACGAAGGUUGGCUAAUCCUGGUCGGACAUCAGGAGGUUAGUGCAAUGGCAUAAGCCAGCUUGACUGCGAGCGUGACGGCGCGAGCAGGUGCGAAAGCAGGUCAUAGUGAUCCGGUGGUUCUGAAUGGAAGGGCCAUCGCUCAACGGAUAAAAGGUACUCCGGGGAUAACAGGCUGAUACCGCCCAAGAGUUCAUAUCGACGGCGGUGUUUGGCACCUCGAUGUCGGCUCAUCACAUCCUGGGGCUGAAGUAGGUCCCAAGGGUAUGGCUGUUCGCCAUUUAAAGUGGUACGCGAGCUGGGUUUAGAACGUCGUGAGACAGUUCGGUCCCUAUCUGCCGUGGGCGCUGGAGAACUGAGGGGGGCUGCUCCUAGUACGAGAGGACCGGAGUGGACGCAUCACUGGUGUUCGGGUUGUCAUGCCAAUGGCACUGCCCGGUAGCUAAAUGCGGAAGAGAUAAGUGCUGAAAGCAUCUAAGCACGAAACUUGCCCCGAGAUGAGUUCUCCCUGACCCUUUAAGGGUCCUGAAGGAACGUUGAAGACGACGACGUUGAUAGGCCGGGUGUGUAAGCGCAGCGAUGCGUUGAGCUAACCGGUACUAAUGAACCGUGAGGCUUAACCUU